rnacentral:rRNA from 1 species
UCGAGGAUCUUCGGCAAUGGGCGCAAGCCUGACCGAGCGACGCCGCGUGUGCGAUGAAGGCCUUCGGGUUGUAAAGCACUGUCGAGGGGAAGAAAGCCGCAAGGUUGAUCGACCCCUGGAGGAAGCACGGGCUAAGUUCGUGCCAGCAGCCGCGGUAAGACGAACCGUGCGAACGUUGUUCGGAUUCACUGGGCUUAAAGGGCGCGUAGGCGGGUCAUCAAGUCUGGGGUGAAAUCCUUCGGCUCAACCGGAGAAGUGCCCCCGAUACUGAUGGUCUGGAGGGAGGUAGGGGUGUGUGGAACUUCCGGUGGAGCGGUGAAAUGCGUAGAUAUCGGAAGGAACGCCGGUGGCGAAAGCGACGCACUGGACCUCUUCUGACGCUGAGGCGCGAAAGCCAGGGGAGCAAACGGGAUUAGAUACCCCCGUAGUCC